rnacentral:tRNA from 1 species
AGGUAUGUGGCUUAAUGGUAAAGGUAUUUGACUCGUGAUCAUAAUAUUGAGGGUUCACUUUCUGGACCUU